rnacentral:rRNA from 1 species
AUUGAACGCUGGCGGCAGGCCUAACACAUGCAAGUCGAACGAGUGGCGGACGGGUGAGUAAUGUCUGGGAAACUGCCUGAUGGAGGGGGAUAACUACUGGAAACGGUAGCUAAUCCCGCAUACCAUCGGAUGUGCCCCGAUGGGUUUCGCUAGUAGGUGGGGUAAAGGCUCACCUAGGCGACGAUCCCUAGCUGGUCUGAGAGGAGGACCAGACACACUGGAAAUGAGACACGGUCCAGACUCCUACGGGAGGCAGCAGUGGGGAAUAUUGCACAAUGGGCGAAAGGCUGAUGCAGCCAUGCCGCGUGUAUGAAGAAGGCCUUAGGGUUGUAAAGUACUUUCAGCGGGGAGGCGUUACCCGCAGAAGAAGCACCGGCUAACUCCGUGCCAGCCGCCGCGGUAAUUC